GGACAGGUGGCCGAGUGGCUGAAGGCGCACGCUUGGAAAGCGUGUUUAGGCGCAAGUCUAACGAGGGUUCGAAUCCCUCUCUGUCCGCCA
rnacentral:tRNA from 2 species